GCUCAUCCUGUACUUGAGGCACUAGCAGAAAAAAGACUGGGAACAUUUUGUAUACUUUGUAUACAGGAAUCUUUCUGAGUCACGUGGAGGCCAUUGUCCUUCAGAACCUUGCAAGGCAGUUCCACAAAGCUAUGGGAUGGAUGUAUUUUAUUUUUUGCUUGGAUUAGCCAGUGGACACAGGGGUCUCCUAACUGGAGGUCCCCAGGGCUCUCAAGUGAAGAAGGGACUCUCUUAGAACCUAAGCAAAGGCACUGGCAGGAAACUGAAGAUCGCCUAAGGAGAACAGCAAGUAACUCAUAGGGUGAUGCUGAACCCAGAGCAGGGACCACUUUGUCCAGCCCCAACCAGUUCCUCCUUGGAACUGUGAAAAGAAAAUUCUUCCUUAACUUUGCCUAUUCUGAAUUCACACUUGUGAAAGGGAAUCCUUUAUUCCCUUUCCCUAUUUUGAGUUAACACACUUUUUGAUUGAAUCAACAAAAACUUGAACUAGGUGGAAGAACUUGCAAACCACUUAGAGAAUUCACAUCCUUAGAAAUUCAAUCAAUCAGGAAACUUUGAACCUAUUGAAGAGAAAUUGACCUUCAGAGGAUGACCUUCAGAGGCCUUUGAUAAGAGGUGACCCCUUCUGAGGAUGAGAGGUUUGAAUCCCAGACACUGCCCCCUGGGUAGUGCUAGACAAUUUGGAAACUGUGAUUGACCCUUAUGAAAGGGGUAAGAGACAAGGAGCCACUAUAAAAGCCCCUGAAUUUCUGGGGCAAGGGAAGUCAACUCCAAGAAGGAAGUCAGCUUAAGGAAGAAGAUCGGCUCAAGGAAGAAAGUUGGCCUCAGGAGUCACCUUCAGCUCCAGUCAUGGUCUUGACCUGCCUCUUGGAGGGAAUUUGGGUCCCAGCACAAAGCAGCAACUGCAACAGGCAGAGUGCAGACCAAAACCUGGAAAAGAGUGCCGAGUUUAAGAACCAAAGGACCUGAAUUCAAAUCCAGCUCUGCUACUUACUACCUUGGUGACUUUAGGUAAGUCUUUCCCCUUCUCUGGGCCUCCAUUUCCUCAUCUGUAAAAUGAAGGAGUUGGACUUGAUCAGGGGUUCUUAACCUAGGACCCAUCACCUUGUUCUAGAUGGAAAGAGACUAUUCCAAUGCCAGGGGUCUUCCUUGGAAUCUGAGGGAUUUUACUUUGUGCCCUGAACACCAUGCCCUCUGAGAAGGGGCCCACAGGCCCUCAGAGUGUUAGGGGGCCCACCCAAGACCCCCAAAGCCUAAGGGCCUUUAAGGCUCCUCCCAAUGCCCAGGAGAACUUCUUUGCACCACAGCAGGAGCCCCCGUCCUCUCAGUCCACAAGCAUAUCGUAAGCAGCUCCCAUGUGCCAGGACUGGGCCCAGCUUCUCCUCAGGCCUGGCAGAGCUCAUUUCAUCCACCAUGCUUUUCAGAAGCAUCACUGGCCUCCUCUCCAGGCCCUACACUUUGCUAGCCUGGGUGUGUGUGGCCCUGAACCCGUCGCUACAACUCUCUGGCCUUCUCAUCCAUAAAAUGAGGGGGCUGGACUAGAGGGCCUCCAAGACCCCUUACACCUCUGGGACUAUUUUACCAGAAUCAGGUUGGGUGGGUGUAGACAGACUCCUAGAACCAUGGUAGUCUCAAAAGGUCAACACUGAGGUUAAGGAAGACCACGAAAGAGAAGACAAGAGACAAGGCAAGAAUGAGGAGGUAGAUCGUGGAAGGAGGCAACCAGUCAGAAAAGAAGGAGGGGAGGGCACAGCAAAGGAAUAGAUAUUUACGUAGCAUUUACUAUGUGCCAGGCACUGGGCUAAAUUCUUUAGAAAUGUUAUCCCAUUGGAUCCUCACAACUACUCUGGGCAGUAUGUACUGCUACUAUCCCCAUUUUACAGUUGAGAAAACCGAGGCAAACAGAAUUUAGGUGACUUUAAGGGUCAUAAAGCUAGAAAGUGUCUAAGGACAGGUUUGAACCCAGGUCUUCCUGACUCCAGGCCCAGUGCUCUAUCAACUGGGCUAUCUAGCUGCCUUGUAAUAUAUUUUUGUGUCAAAACAUGGACAGUGUUGUGUGAGAAGCAGCUAGGAGGUCAAUGUCACUGUAUUUCAGAGUGGAGAGAGGGGAGUGAGACAUAGAGACUAGAAUGGUAAGAAAAGACCAGGCUAGGAAGGCCGUUAAAAGCCAGAGGAUGCUCUAUUUGAUAGAGGAGGGAAUAGCAAUCCACUGGAGUUUCAUGAGUAGGCGGUGCCGGUGCCGUGGUCAGAAGGAGCAUCAAUCUGCCAGCUGAGUGCAGGAUACAAUGGAGUAGGGAAGGCUUUUGACAGGCACAGCCACAGCCAGGCAGGAGGUGAUGAGGGCCUGCACCACGGUAGUGGCUGGCUCCGAAGAGAGAAGAGUGUGGGAGAAAUGUGUAAAGGUUUGCAACAGAUUGAACGGGGGGAGUAAAAGAAAAUACAAGGUGGAGAAUGACACCUGGUUGUAAGCCUGGGUGACUAGAAUGCUGGUGCUACUCUCAGCAGUACGAGGAAGGCUUUUGGGAAAAAGACCAGCAGGCUCAGUUUUGGUCACGUCAGAAUGAAGAGAUCUGUGAGGCAUCAUCCAAUUUGAGACACUUUAAGAGACAUGAGGCUGGAGGGUUGGACCAACAUAUGAGAAUCCUUUCCACGGAGAUGAUAGCUGAAUCCAUGGGAAUUCAUAAGAGAGACGAGAAGAGGGCCCAACCUAGAGCUCUGAGGGAUCCCUGAGGGUCUGACCAGGAUUAAGAUUCAGUAAUGGAGGCAGAGGAGUAGUCAGACAGGGAGGAGGAGAACCACAAGAGAGCAGUAUCAAGAAAACCUAGAGAGAAGAGAGGAUGGAGAAGAAAAGGAUGAUUAAUGAGUGUCAAAGGCUACAGGAAUGUCUCUACCUUUUUUCCAGCAGGACUCCAUCCUAUCUUUCCUAAACUUUGAAAAGUCUAAAGUUACAGGGGAAACUAGGUAGCUCAGUGGAUAGCCAAGUCCUAGGUUCAAAUCUGGCCUCAGAUACCACCUAGCUGUAUGAUCCUGGGCAAGUCACUUAACCCCAACUGUCUAACCCUUACUGCUCUUCUGCCUUGGAACAAAUACUUAGUAUUGAUUCUAAGACAGAAGGUAAAAAUGAAAAAAAAAAAAGACUGAAACUACCCCCAGAAAUAAUGAAAGACAAUUCCUAGAACCUUAUGCUCAAGAUUGGUAUUCAUAACUAAAUUCAAUAUGUUUUUUCAGAAGUUAAAUGGGGCAAAGCAACCUCUAUCCCCAAUCCCUCUGUGGCCCUGGGCAGGUCUCUUCACCUGAGUAUCACUGGCCUCCUCUCCUGGUCCCACACUUUGCUACCUUGGGUUACCUUGGACUAGUCACUACAACUCUCUUGGCUUCUAACCUAUAAAUGAGGAAGGUGGACUAGUAGGCCCUAGAGGUCCCUUAUUUAGGUCUGUGGUACCAUGCUCCAGCUGGGUGGGGAAUCAUGGUAAACCAUUCAUUCACCUUCUGAGGGAGAAGGGUCCUGGCUCCGGGGCUGGGGUUUUCCCCUCUUAGUACCGGUGGGAAGGCUUUAGAAUGAGCCAGGGAAGCCAAGUCUGAUAGGAGCCCUUCCCCCUCCACUUAGAAGUACUCCUCUCCUCUCCUCCAUCUCAAAUCACUUUGUUUUCACUUACCUUUAGAUACCUAUACCACCCGCCCACACACAGACUAUAACUGUUUCUUCAUCUGAGAAUGGGCUUUGAUGACCACUAGCCUCCCGUGUAACCCAAGGCAACUCUCUUCCCCACUCUGGGAAUCAGAUCAUCAUCUGUAAACAGAAAUCUUGGUGCCGGCAGUGGAGUCGCCAUGGCCCUGAAACUUCGGAGACGGAUUCCCGGCUAGAUAUCGCUGCCAGCCCAGCAGAUGACAUGGGAAACCAAGGCUUAGAGAGGGGAAAUGAUGUCCCCAAGUCACAUGCAUGAAAACAAAAACAAAGCCUAUUAUCCUACGCAUCCAUAGUCCAGAGAAGAGAUUCCCUCCCACAUUGACUGGAAGUGUCCGGCUCUGUAUUUUACGACCGUCACCUCUGCGGCAGGCAGGAGUGUGAAGUUCGCCACUGGACCUGAGACCAAAGAGAGCGAGAUGGUCGGGCUGCCCAAGAGCUAUACCAGUUACACAGGAACUUCAACUCCAGACCGUGGUUGGAAGCGAGGGGAGAGAGCCUCUGCUAUGGUCUUCAUCAGGGACAAAAUCACAUUCAAUCACCUGGGAGCAAGGCGGACCCAGGAAAAAGAAAAGGAGUAAGUGAAUGUCUCUGAUGAGGAGGAAAGGGCCCUGGGGCCCUCCUCUCACAGAUCAGUACCCAACCUCAAUCUUGGCCUGGAAUUUGGAGAAGAAUAUCCAGGUUAGAAUAACCUGGAUGCUGGUCGCUGCCUUCCCUCAGUCCAGGAGAAAAAGGGACCCUUCUGGUUAAGGAAAGCUGUUUGUGCCCUUGAAGACAACUGAUAAAUACUAGAACUGCGAUCUGCUGACUCCUAAGUCCAGUGCCUUUUUGGUGGAUUCGAUAAACCAGACAUGAAAGAGCCAACCAGCAGCCAAUUCCACAAGUGCCAAUGAGGCAGGCACUUCAAGCAGCCAGCACAUGAGUGAGUAUGCGAUCACAUCUCAUGCUACCAGGGACAGAGAAACAAUGCUCUUCACUUCUGAAGAGAACCCCCCACCACACACACACACACCACAGUCAAUCUCUCUCUCUCUCUCUCUCUCUCCCCCCUCUCCAAGUGGGCCAAAGGAUGGGGAAACCCCCAAAGCAAUUAGCUAAACUGAGCAGUAGUCUUCCCAAGGCCAUGUCGCCCAGGCUCAGGUUGCCUUGCUCAGCCCUGUGUUCCUUUGAAUUCCUUUGGAUUUCUCUCCACUCACCCUUUUUGGCUUUCUUGGAUGUGUUGCCUUCCUCACAUAUAAGCUCCCUGAGGGCAGAGACUGCCUUUCUUUUUCAUAUUAGUAUCAUCCCCAAUGGGCAGUGUUGGGCCAGGCCAGGUCAGGGCCCUCAAGAAGAUUUGCAACAGGCCAGAUAGAAAUUUCAGUGGAUAAAGGGCUGGGCCUGGAAUCAGGAAGACUCAUCUUUCUGAGAUGGAAUCUGGCCUCAGAUUCUUACUAGCUGGGUGACCCUGGGCAAGUCACUUAACCUUAUUUGCCUUUGUUCCUUCAUCUUGUCAAAUGAGCUGGAGAAGGAAAUGCAAACCACUCCAGUUAUCUGUCAGGAAGGGGUCAAGGACAGUCAGACAUGACUGAAAUGACCAAACAGCAGUCAUCUCCCCAGGGCUUAGCAGAGUGCCUAGGACUUAGUAGGUGAUUCAUAAAUGUUUCCUUAGCAAGGUGGCCUGCAGAGCAUCCACCUAAAAGUUUGCACGUACCCUUCCAGCUCAGAUUUCACUGCAAAAAUGAAGCCUGUACUUGGUCCUAGAGUUUUCCUGGUCAAACCAAUCAACCAAAUCCAAAAGGAGGAACUUGCCCAAGAUCAUCCAGCAUGGCCCAAAUAGCUAAGUACGGAUUACUAGGCCUGAGCAGCCAGCACCUCCCAGCUUCCAGCCAGGCUAUUUUGGGCAGCGUUGGGCCAGGCCAGGCCCCUGAAGAAGAUUCUCAACAGGGCAGAUAGAAUUUCUUCGGCAGCAUUCGGGGAACAGAGUUUGCAGGGAGCAGAAAGGAGGGAUUGGAGGAGAAGCAUGCCUGUGGCUGUGAAGCGAAGCCAGGCCCGCCACCUUAGGAAGCCCUUUGCUAAGGACUGCUGUACUGCCUACUUGCCUUAUUUUCUCCAGGAACAUUAAAUUCCUGUUAUACACCAGGUACUGUCCUCAGUACCUGGGCUAUGGAGAUAAAGGAAAGGCAGACCCUUCCCUCAAGGAGCUUAUGUUCUAGAUUGAGAGAGAGAGAGAGAGACACACACACACACACAGUCAGCAGGCUUUCCUAAAGCACCUACUAUGUGCCAGGCCCUGGGGAUUCAAAGAAAGGUAAAAGACAGGCCUGUUCUCAAGUUGCUCCUAGACAAGACACACGAUAAUACUAGAUAAAUGGGAAAUAAUGGGGGGGUGGGGGGGGGGGACAGGGACAAGAAUUAAGAGAGCAGAAAAGGCUUCUUGCAGAAAACGGGAUUUAGAGGGGAGAGAACAUUCCAAAGAUGCGGACCUGGGGGGAGUGGGGUGAAAAUAUUCCAAAUCCUGAGGAUGGACUGUCUUGUUUGGGGAACAGUAAUGAAGGCAGUGUCACUGGGGGGGGGGGGGGGCGGCGCAUGUUCUGAACAUUUGAUCAUGUGAUAAGCUUAAGGGAUGACAGGUACAUAUCACAUUGGCCCACUGGUUAUUUUCUGUCAGGAGAAAUUGAGGAAGGGGAGGGGGCAGCACAACAGAUGGACCCUCUGUUGCAAAUUUAUGAGAGGGCAUGGACAUGGGUGGGCUUGGAAGGAUUACAAGCUGCAGCUAUCCUGAGGGAAAAAUCUGAGUCAAUGAAAUGACAGCUCCGUUUUGAGUGUUAAGUAAAGGAGCAGCCACAGAAGAUUCUUGAGCAGGUGAGUAAUGUGGUCAGACCUGUGCUUCCAGAAUAGUACUUAGGAACCAAUAUAGAAGAUAGAUUAGAGAGGAGACAGACAGCUAUAUGCUUCUGGUAAGAGAAGUCCCAAGAAUCUAUGUACCCAGAAACUAGCAGAGAGCACUGAGGCAGUAGGCUAGAGGUCUGGGAUAGAGGAAACCCAGCUCCGUGGCAGUCCCUUCCCCCCUUUAGACUGCUAAAAAAUGAGGAAGGCCUCUAAGAUCCCUUCCACCUCUGACAUGCUAGGAUUCUAUAUCCAUAGUGCUAGAUUCUUACUGCCCGUGUGUCCUUGGACCAGUCCCUUCCUUCCUUCUCUGUGGCCUCCCUUCUCUAUAAAAUGAGGGGGUUGGCCUAGACGUAAGCUACUCACUGCCAACUCUGACAUUUAGUGAGUCUGGAAGACCAGGCCCUGGAAGUAGCAGUCAGGUGAAGGACUUUUCACCUUGGAUGCUGGGAGAGCACUCCCUGUUGGACUCUCCAGUAAGGCUUCUCUUCCCCAUCCCUCGGCCUCUGCGGCUGAGGCUGUCUAGCUUACUUGGGGUUCCAUGGGAAGGAUUCUUGUCAUCAGAACGAGAGUUACGCACAACAUACCAAUGGCUUACUGUAUGAGGAUUUGGGAAUCUGAAAAGCACCUUCUUGGCCUAGAAUCAGCCUGGGCAGAACUGGGGUGACUUUGAAAAGGCAAUCCCAAGUCAUCUCCCAAUUGGGAUACGCCAGGAGGAAAGCUCAGGGGGCUUGUGGGAAGGGGCUGGGGCCCUUGCCAGGACUUAAGUGAGAAUGUCUAAGGGAUAAAAGCAUCGCAGAGGUUGCCACAAAGAUGGGGCCAAGAGGAGGAGGAGAAAAAGACAGGGCAAUGCAGUGGGAGCAGGCUAUUGCUGAAAAAAGGGAAAACACCCAGGAACUUGGCAGGUCUGGAAAAAGCAGUGCUAGAAGACCUGAGUUCAAGUCUUGCCUCUGACAUGAAGACUAGAUGACCCUGCCAGGUAACUGGAUCUCAGUACCUCUGGCAACUGAGACAAAGGAGGGUUAAACACACACCACCGCAGAGUUGUUUUAGAAACAUUAGCAAACUCAACAGGGAAACAAGCAGGGAGCGGAAAAAGGAAGGCAAACCACGGAGAUCUAAGGGGGAGGCCCAUCAAGGGGGAAUGGUGGGACAAAUUCUAUAGGAAUGGAAUCUUAUUGCGCCAUGAGAAAGGGAUUUCCGAGAAUCCUGGCUUAUGGGCACCAAUGGGAGCAGAACCAGGGAGCGAUUUGUUCAGAGGAAAGAGGCCUCAUGUUGCUUGGCUGGGCUUUAUUACCAGGCUGGUGUUCUGCCCCCUCUCACUUAUAAUCUGAGCAAGGAAGGCCGCCUGCCUGGCGGGCUGGUUGUUCCCACUGUUGCCCAAAACAAGGCCAGGCCUCAUUGCUCCCAUGAUUAGAACACAAUACAGUUCAAAAGGAAUGACAGACAAGCAGGAGAGCUUUGAGAAUAACAUGUGAGGUUUAUUAUAAACUUUCAAAAAGCAACUGGCAGGGCUUGGAGCUUCAGUUUGAAACCCAGCCCUGUGUGGCGGGUGUGUUUGGGGAGAUCCCCCAAAGCUCAUCUGCGUUCAAGUUCAGGAGUUACUACUACUGCUACUACUAACACCGGUUAGCCAGUUAGCUGGUUAGUAGGAACAUAGUAAGAGUGACAAAUAGCUUUCAGUGCUGGAUGCCACAAAGAAGGGACUGGUGGACAGGCCACAGGGAGAGUGUCUGCUGUAAAAACCUCGUUUGAGCCCCCCCAUAACCCCAAUCCACUCUCCUUCGCAACUUGGGCCCCAUCGCCCUCCCAGCUCUCUAGGCUGGCAACCUCACUGGUCCGGCCCUCCAAAUGGAAGCCCCCUUCCCAACAUCUGGGCCCACUCUCCUCAAAUUUGACCCAUUACGCUAGGCCCCAGCUCAUCCUCCACUCAGCUUCCACCAAGUCACCCCCCCACACACCCCCAUCAGUAAACACCUGGGAGAGCAUCCAAAAAGGCCCUCCCAACUGGCCCCUCUGCCCUAAUUUUACAGUCCCUCCUCUCUCUUCCCUCCCUCCUCCCCCCAUCAAUGUGACUCCUAAUUUUCCUAGUUCCCUAAGAAGACAAUACAACCCCCGCCCCCAGGCAUUUUCAUCCCAGGGUCCUCUCCAAGCUAAAAUCUGGCCUAUUCCUUCCCCUCAGGGUAGAAGAAACAAUAAGAAGUUGCCUAAGGCCCCUGGGCCUCCACCACUUCCCCUCAAAGCUAGGGUUAAUCACUAUUCAAUUACCUAACCAGUUUGGGCCUCAGUUUCUUCAAAUGUAAAAUGAGUGGGUAGUACUAACCGGCAUAACCAAUUUCCCUAAUCCUUCUGGGCAGUCCUUCAGAUGAUCAGUAACAGUAAUCAAUCAUCAGCCUAACAAGGAUUUGAGCCUCAGUUUCCUCCAGUGUAAAAGGAGUGGGUAGAACUGAAUAUCAAUGGCAGUCAAAGGUUUGCAAAAAGCUUGCCUGGGAACCACAGGUGAGUAGAGCAGUGCAAAUACUAUUGUUCCCAUUUUAUGGAGGAAGCUGCUACGGCUUGGAAGGCCACUGGUAAGUGUCAGAGCUAGGAUCUGAAGCCUUGUGGCCAGACCGCACCCUUAUGGCCCCAAGCCCUCCUCCAAUGUGGGAAUCAUGAUGAUGCCAAGGACCAAGCACUUCCUGAGGGCAGCCCCCAACCUUUCUAGUCCAGUCUUUCCUGCCAAGUCCUCCGCCAGGGCCUCAUAGUGGAGUGAGGGUGCCUACAGUAUUCCAAAGACUUCUGUGCCCACCCAAAGAGGACAGAAAAGGAAGAGAGGUUGUUGAGGCAUUUGCUAAGUGCAGAAGAGAGCAGAGGAAGCCAGACAAAUAAGCAGGACAACGUGGAAAUCUCCAGGCUGGAUUUCUAGGUUUAAGAAGGACAGAGAUGGACAGUUCCCAUUGCAUGCCUGUUUCUGCCCUAGCUAGAUGGAAUACCCAUUCACUCAUUUGGUUCCGGUUCCGAAGAGCCAGGAAUUGUUUCUUUUGAGGCCCCAAAGAGCAAAGGCUGAUCCCGAGAGGGUGGCCAUCAGAUGGUGCUUGGCAUGGAGGGGCCAUGGCAGACUGGUCAAAGCCUAGAGGCAAAUGAAGUGAAGGCAUGUUUACCAAACAACAGGGGAAAACCAAGCAAUUUCUUGUGUGCCAGGCACUGUACUAAGUGAGAUUCGAGGUCCAAAGAAGGGCCCAAACAGGAGCUCACAGUCUACUGGGGGAAUUGAUUGAGAAGGUAAACUUGGACAGCAGGCCAUUAGGGGAGAGGGGGGCAGGUAGACCAGGAAAGGCUCCUCUUAUACAAGAUGGUGGCUGAGAUUAGAAGAAGCAGAUGUCAAGGGAGGGAGAGCAUCCUAGGCAAGGGGGCUGGCCAGUGGAAAGGAACAAGAAGAGAUGGGAGGUGGGCCAAUAUGGCUACAUCACAGUGGAUAAAGGGAAGGAGCGUAUGAACAAAGGUUAUGAAAAGUUUGAAGGACUUCCUCUUUGAAAGGCCACAAUCGGGCCAACUGUUUGUCAGUGCCCAGGAGGCUUGACAUCUUCUAAUGGUCCCCCAAUCGGACUUUUUCUGGUAGCCUCGACCCAGGUCAAAUCCUAUCUUGUGCCAUCUUAACUCAGAGGACUGUCACGAUCUUGCAGAAGACAGGUUUCAAGGUCUUGGGGGGCGGGGGAAGUACACAACAGGAACCUUUGAGCUGUAAGUCCUCAGAUGCAAGGUUUUUAAAAUGAAUGUAGGAAGACUAGAAAAAGGAUGAUUUUUAAUGUGCAUUUCAGAAGAAGGCCAAAGGAGCCUAGAAGAACUGGGCAAAUUUAGCCCACCAACCCAAGCAAAACAUUUUGGGGAAUUUCUUGCCUGAUCACCCCACUGAAAACAUGGGCAACAGUCAAGGCUAUACUUGGAGGGGGGAAAUGGGCUCUUUCAUCCCAAAAGAUCCAGAAUGCUAAGCAGUCUCAUGAAGAAUGAAAGCAUCUAUCAAAAUCAAGUCAUCUCAAUGUCAUCAUAAAAGGUCACCACCACCACCAUCUCAGGGCUGCUAGCCACAAAGGCAUACAGUAAGUUGUAAAAAUGCAGGAAAGGGGUCAGCUAGGUAGCUCAGUGGCCUGAAAGCCAGGCCUAGAGACUGGAAGAUCCUGGGUUCAAAUGUGGCCUCAGAUACUUCCCAGCUGUGUGACCCUGAACAAAUCACUUAACCCCCAUUGUCUAACCCUUAUUGCUCCUUUGCCUUGGAAGCAACACACUGUAUGGAUUCUAAAACCGAGGGUAAGGGCUAGAGUUUUUUUAAAAGUGAAUCUUUAAACUGAAAUGUUCAUUUCUUUUUUCUAUCCAAAGCCAAAGUCCACCAGCACUUCACUGGCCCCUGGUGGAACUCUCAGAUCCAAAGGCCCUACUUCUAAGAAUCUGCUCCAGAAUACAUAGUGUCCUGAGUGUUCCUGGAUUGGGGGUUGCUAUAGAAUUCCAUCUCUUUCCUCUCUCCCAGAUGAGCAGAAUCUUUAACUUCUUUCAAAAUGGAGCUGAGGGACCAUCUCUUACCUACACAAGCUUUUCCUAUCUUCUCUCUCUCUCUCUCUCUCACACACACACACACACGUUAUUCCCAUCUUGAAAUUGCCAUUGAUCACUAUGAACACACUUCCUGUAUCCUCCCAUCCCAGUUAGACUGCGUUUUGUUUUUGUCUUUGUAGCUGGCAUCUAAUAGGCCAUCAAAUUGAAUUCAAAAAGCAAUCAGAAGUGGUAUCUUGGGGCCAGGCACCACAUCUCAUUUUGGGAGAGAGACAGUUUUGAACUGAAGCCAUGGCCCCUUUCUGGACCACUUGGAGUCACUGAGCAACUUGGAGCUGGUCACUUGCCCUCUCUAACGUUUUUCUUUCCACAUCUGUAAAAUGAGGCAGCUGGUGUAUCUAAACUAAGGUUUGGGGAUCACCAGGAUGAACUGAAGGAAGUGAACACGAUGGACUAUCACUAUGUAUGAGAAACUGCCCAUUGGACAUCUUGAACCCAUUUUAACAUGUGCAAAACUGAGCAUCAUCGCCAAACUCUUCUCCUCAGGUCUUCCUUCCUUUCCAACUUCCAUAUUACUGUUGACACCACACCACCCUCCCAAUUCCUAGGCUUCAUUCGGGCUUCAUUCUCCGUCUCCCAAAUUGUUCGAUCUGUUGCUAUUGAUUCUGCCUUCCCAUCUUCUCUCAGAUGUCUGCUUCUGCCACUAACCUGGUAUAGGUUCUUAUCUGAUCAGUCCUGAAUAUUCAGUAGGCUCCCUGCCUCCAGUUUCUCCCCACUCCAAUCUGUCCUCCAUUUCAGCCAACAAUGACCUUCCUGAAGUAGGAGGCUGCCACAUGACUCCUCAGUUGAUUCCAUUACCUCCAGGAUCACACAGGAAAAACUCCAUUUGUCCAUCAAAGCCCGUCAUAGCCUGCUGUUACACAUGCACAGCUUUCCAGUCUGUUUAUACUUUGCAAUUCUGCAGUUGCUGCUCUUUGAAGUAGACUUCUUUCCUGAGUUCAUUUUCACUGGCUGUCUUCUAUGCCUAGAAAUUUCUGCCUGCCUUCACGUAACAGCUAAAAUUCCAUCUACCAGAAACCUGUCCCAGCUCUGCCUCGAUGCUGCUGCCUUCCCUUGGUUGCUCAACCCUAGUUACUAUCUGGAUCUUGUUUGUAGGAUGUAUCCCCGAUUACACUGUGAGCUCUUGGGGGUAGGACUGCCUGUGGCCUUGUUGGCUUAUCUCCAGUGUGUAGCACAGGUUCUGGCACAUAGUAGGUGCUGCGGUAAUGACUUUUCAGUUGACUGGCAAAAUCCAGAUCCUACUCAUCUCUAAGAUUACUAGAGAUUUACCAGAUGUUCACAAUUCUUGAAAGUCACAAAGCUAAUGGUUGAGGCAGAACUUGAACCCAGGCCUUCUGACUGGGAAUCUAAUUCCUCAUUCAGACUACUUGAUAGAUAAAGCAACUGAGUGUUAGAGAGGCUAAGAAGUCAUUUAUUCGAAAUCAGGCUGCGGUUUCUUACUGUUUUUCUUGUAGGGGAGGGCUUCUCUUUGUUGCCUGUUACAGAGAUGAUCCAAAGGUUAUCCCAAAAGAGAAGUGGCCUGAUAUUUUUGUGGCCACUAGCCCUCAGAAUAGGCUUCCAGAGACCUCUGUAACAUGAGACUAGUUGUGGGACCUUUUAAUAACAGUUGGCAUUUAGAUAGCCCUGGAGCAUUCAUAACACACUAUACCUACAGUCUCACCUGAGCCUCAUAAUACCACAUUUUGCAGAUCAAGAAACAGAAUCUGAAUAGUAAAAUGACUUGCCUAGGGUCUCACAGACAAGUGUCAGAGGUGAAAUCUGAGCCCAGGUCUUUUUGACUCUGGGCCUACCAUCCUUAGCCAUGAUGUCACUGCCUCCACUCACAAGCUCUACAUAAAUAAAGUUAAUAAAAACCACAGGCACAAGAGUUCACAGAAAGACAUGGAAAUCAAGAUGGUUCUGUUAGUACUUUCACAAGAUCUCUUUAGGGAACUAGAACUCAUCUUCUACCUGCCUGUAAGCUGUAUUAAGGUAAGGACAAGUCUUUUCUAAAUGCCUGGGACAGGGGGCAGCUGGGUUGAUCAGUGGGUUGAGCCAGGCCUAGAGAGAAGGUCCUGGGUUCAAAUGUGGCCUAUCUGGAUGACCCUGGGCAAGUCCCUUCACCCCCAUUGCCUAGCCCUUACCACUCAUCUGCCUUGGAACCAAUACACAGUAUUGAUUCCAAGAAGGAAGGUACGGGUUAAAAAAAUAAAUGCCCUGGACAGUGUGCCACAAACAGCCCUUGGGUAAAUGCUAUUCAAGUCUAGGGAGCCAUCAAGCAUACUGUCCUCCAUGCCUCAAAUAUUACAUUCCUCAGGAGUCCCAGACCAGUUGACCAAUCUCACGGUGACGUUCUGUAGUCCUCAGGCAGAGGGUAUAGUGGACAAAAUGCUGGACUGGGACAGAGAUGGGACCCUACCUCACAUGAUUCCUAGCUGUUUGGCACUGGGCAAGUUCCUUAACUUCCCCAAACUUGUCUAUAAAAUGAAGAUACUAGCAGUGGUCUUACAGCAAAAUUAUAACUAGCAUUUAUACAGUGUUUUCAGACAUGCAAAGUACACGUCAUCCAACUAGGUGCCCAUUUUAUUAUUUAUUUUUAUAUAUAUUUAUUGUCCCCAUUUGAAAGAUGAGGAGCUGAGGCCAAGCCCACAGAAGGCAGAACUGGGAAUAGCAGAAGUCAUAUAGAUGGAUAUCUCUGGUGGAAAUCAAAUUUAGUGGUCUCAAAAUGGACCAGGCCUUCCCUGAAAGCCAGACGAUUAUUUGGAGGAUGUAUCGUGAAGGAGGUUACCAUUGGGGCAUGCUUAAGCCAAAUGCCACUGACACCUCUGCUAAUACUAAAAUACAGUUCACAUUCUAAAAGCUCUCUGAAAGGAACAUACAUGUGCAUGUGUAUGUAUGGUAAAGGGUGGUUCCUGGACUCAGAGUCACCAGAUUUGAGCAGGGGUGGGUUUGGGAGGAAGCAUAGCUUCAUUUCAUACAGACAGCUUCCUGUGGACUGCUGGGGCUCUUGAGUAGAGGCGUUCCCAUGGAUUUUUUUCUCCUUUUUGAGAUUGGGUCUCCAGAUCUCACUCAAACUGGAAGUGCAGCAGCCACUCAUGAGAGCCCUAGCCUACUUUUUAAAUUGUAAUCGCCAAGUAUCAGCUUUAUUUUGUUGUUGAUGACCUUCCAUUUUGGUCACCACUUUAUAUUUUGCAGGGCUGGUUCAUUUUUGCCAAGCCUACUUAUGAUGGGCCUGGGGUGGGGGGAAUCGUGAUCUGCCUCCUGUCCAGCCAGUCGGCCCCUCCUUAGGCUCAUCGUCAUUUUGAUGCUGGAUUUAGGAGCUCCUGAUCAGCUUCAAUCCUAUUGCAGCUUAGAACUGGCAAGCAUAAGCUCUUAGACAGCUGGGUGGUGCAGUGGCUAAAGGGUAGGGCCUGGAGUCAGAAAGGCCUGAAUGCAAACCCAGCUGCAGACAUUUGUUAGCUGUGUGACUCUGGGCAAGUUACUUCACUUUGGUUUCCUCACAUGUAAGAGAGACAUUCAGGACUGUUGUGGGGGGCGAAAUGAGAAUUUUAUAGGCUUGGCCUAAUGCCAGUGCCUGGCAUUAGUGGGCACAAUAUGAAGUCUGAUUCCCUUCCUCACAAGGGGUCGGCCAGCCUCAACCUCCCCUGUAGCAAGGGUUACCAGCAGGUGCCCCUCCCCACACACACACACACACUGCCAAGGAUUGCUUUUUUUAAAUCCUUCCUACUUCCAAGAGGACUUGGUGGUUUCUGGUUUGCCAAGCUCUUUUUGUCACCUGUCACAAGACGGAUUUGAAGACGCAUGAUGCCACCCCGACUUUCAAGGCCAAUGAGAUCAUCUCUACAAGGCAAACACAUUCCUCAACACAUUCUCCCACCUAUGAGGAUAAUGACUUUACAGAUGAGGAGACUGAGGCCCAAUGAGACAAAGUGGUUUAUUUGUUCACAGCACCGCAGCAAGCAGAACCCAAAAUGUGAUGCCCAGUUCUUGCCAAUGAGGCCCAUUUUUCAGCCUGUCUGCUCCCAUUCCCUCUUAACAUUCUGCCCCACUGUUGCCCUGUGCCAGGGUUAGGACCACACACAGUCUACUCCCUUUAGAGUUAACCAGAUGGCAUAAAUGCCCAGGAAGCUGUAGCAGCCCCCGAAGAAAAAGAAGAGUCUUAAGAGUUUAGAAAGAUAAUUUAUUAUCUACAUGACCUUAGGCAAGUCAUUUUUCCUGUUUCCUCAGUUGAAAGAUGAGGAGUUGGACUAGAUCAUCUCAGAGGCCCCUUUCCAGGCCCUAAAUCCAUGAUUCUGUGACUUUCAUCUUGCAGGGGAAGACCCUGACCAUACAGUGGAUUAGUAUGAAUCGGCAAGUAAUCAUGUUUUGAAAUUCUAUUCAGUGUGAAAUGCCCAAUCACAAAGAGUUCUUAUGGUAGAAUUGAUUCCCAAGCCAGGAUCUGCCUCCCUCACUAGGCCAUCAAACUCCCCCCCCCCCUUUUGCCCCAGAUCUGAUCCCUAACCCCUCCCUUAUGUCUAGGACAUAGCUCCCUUGGAUGCUAUCCCUAGGGUUUCAGGAACCGGCAGUCAGGACUGCAUUGGGAGGCCCCUGGGUCAGAUCCGGCACUGAGUCACUCCCACCAGGAUCACUGUAGUACAUGGUGGCCAACUGUCAUUAAAUCAACCUAUUAGCAUUCAACUACACUGUGGACUCAAUGGGUGCCUGGGAACCUGACCACCAUUUGUCAACUUUGUUUCUGUGGGGAAACGGGCUCAAGCAAAGAACUCCCAGACUGUCUCCAAAAUGAAACAGGACCAAGAUGAGGCUUUAUAAAGCAAGAACUGUGAGAUACAGACAGGAAGGAGGGAAAUGACAGAGAGGGAAGAAAAAAAGAAGAUGGGGGAUGAUGGACUAGAGUUUGCAGUUGGGCCCCUGGCCAGGCUAGCACCCAGUCUUGAGCCAGAAGGGACCUUAAUGACUUCCCCAAGUGGGCCUCUGGGUAAGGGAGCAGCCACCCCAGACCUUUGGGAGAGCUAUCAUUGUUAAGGUUUUUUUCCUUACACCAAGCUGGAAUGGAACUCACAACAAGUUCCACCCAUCCCUCCUAGAUCUGCCCUCCAGAGCCAAGCAGAACAAUGUUAAUUCCUCUUGCACAUGGCAGCCCAGCUCAAUACUCAUCUGGUUUGAACUUUCCAUAAUCUGUAACACCAUCACUCGCCCUUUCCUUCUCUCCCAGUGUUCAUGGCCCUAAUUUCUCUUGCUUUUGCCUCCUGACCACUCCUCAGUCUCCAUCUAGGGGCCCCCCACUUGUCACAGGGUGCCUCAAGCUUCUGUCCUAGGCCCCUCUUAGGCAUUAGUUCCUUGAGUGAUCUCAUCAGCUCCCAUUGACAGCAUCCCUAUGUAGAUUGCUAUCCAUACUCUAAGGUCCAGCCAUAUUGAAUGGUCUUCCUCAUGCAAAUGUUCCUUCUUUGUUCCUUUGCACUGGCAGCCUUCCCCAUUCUUGGAAUGUAUUCCCUUCCUCUCAGAGUGGGAAAGCUUCCUCCAGAAAGUACCAUUUGAGCUUUAAGAAAGUCUCCAUGUAUUUUGCAUGUGCCAACUAGGUGUCCUGGAAUCAGAAAGACCUGAGUUCAAAUCUAACCGCAGACACUUAACUAGCAGUGUGAUCCUGGGAAAGUCAUUUGGUCUGCCUGCCUCAGUUCCCUCAAUUGUAAAAUAGGGAUAGUAACACCCACCUCCGGAGGUGGUUGUAAUGUAUUUGUGUUUUGCAAGGACUGUUUUAAGUGUGAGAUGAUCUCAAAAUAGAUAGCAGGCCCCAGGAAAAAAAGAUCUGGAUUCCCUUUCCUCCUCUGACACAUAAUGGCUAUGUAACUCUGGACAAGUCAUAGAAUUUUUUAGUGCUCUAGGCCACUCCAAGACUAAGCUGCAGAGAAGAUGCUAAGCUGCACUGUCAGGCUCACCAGGAAGUUCUCUGUAUCUCUAUCCAAUCUCCAUUUUAGAAAAGAGUAAACAAGCUUAGAGGGCAGUCCUCAGUCACAAGGCUAAUAAGACUGAUGGGAGGCCAGGCUAGCAGAUUUCCAAUCCAUAAAUUCCACAAAGGCUUAGGACUUUGUAGGGUUCUGAAAGGCUUCUUCAAUUUGUAUUUCUAUGAGUAUGAAGCCCAAGUCCAAGAAAAUCUGGUAAGUAAUUUCCAGAAGACAAGCUUGGCUUCCUUUUGCCUCCCUCACCCUCUGCUCCUAGCCUCCUACAUACACUUCCUUUCCCAGAAGUCCUUUCCUUUCUAGCUCUAAAUCUAUUAUCUUAACUCCUUAUUUAUCCUCUUCAUUUGACAGGGUUAGAAACUGAGGUACAAAGAAGAGACUUACAAUGAGAUGAGUGUAGAUCCCCUUCUCCAUCCCGCUCCCAAACCUUCCAUGGCAUGGCCACUGGCCCAUAAAAAGACCUUCAUCUCAGAUGAGUUUCUCUUCUUCCCUAUCCCCAGCUUAUCCAUCAUUCCAAGCUUGCCCUAAAGUAGACCAAGACUUUCUAAAUCUUUUAUCUCUAUACCAAAAGUGAUUGAACUAGACAAGUUGGAAGCCCUUCCUGAGAUACCUUAUGGUACAUUAAAAGUCCAUUUUAAGGAAUUAUGGGAUUUUGGAGAAAGCUGGUCUGGAGUAAGAAGUCCUGCCUAUACCUAAGUAACUGACCCUAAAUGGCCUCAGAUCUGCAUUGGAAAUACCGUAAAACAAGAACUACCCUUUUCCCUUUGAGGGGGUAUACACAGAGAAUUCCUCCCACCCGAGGCCCAGCUCCAGAGUUUGCCCGCUUAAACCUAGAGAGCAAGUCUGAUCAGGGGCAGAACACAUACGCAAGAGCUCACACACACCCAGGCACACUCUUGUGCCCCCACUCCACCCCCCAAACAAAAAUGAUUUCUGCAUUCUUCAGUUUCUGAUCGGUCACCCACCCGCAUUGAGCCAGCAGUUGCUUUCAAAGUGUAGGCUUUCCCAGUUGUAGCUUAACUGUACCAUCUUCCAUUUCAUUAUGUUGAGUCAUAGGCCUCUAAAACCUUAAUUAUUAUGAUAACACCUCCCUGCCCCCCAACCAGGAGUCAGGGACUAAAGUCCAGCCUUUCAAGCUUCCCCCCCAGGUCCCCAGCACACUCAUUUCACCAGAUUUCUUUUUGAGAAGACUGAUUAAUAAACUUUAUUACAGAAAAUGAAUGCAUCCAAGAAGGUCCCUAGAUACACUUUUUGACAAAAACAUAAACAUGGGAGAGACACUUUUGACAACAGUUGCUACAUCAUCAAGCUCAGGUUUUUUGUUUUUGAGUGUUUGUUCCCCCCCCCCCCAAAAAUCGGACUGUUCAGGGAGGAAGGAGGUAAGAGAAGCAGAACAGGGGAGGAAAGAGUAUGAGACUAAAGUAUUGGGGGUACCCUAAAACAGGUCAGCAUGGUAAAAAACAAUGAAACAGACCUGGCCCCACCCCAAAUCAAGGCCUUACAAACAGCCUCAAGUCUUAAAGGGGUUAGGAGAUAAGAAUAUUCCUCUGAUAAGCAAAUGUUUUUCCUUAAUUCCUAGACUAGCUUUAAUUUGGAAGAAAUCUAAUUGGCAAUCCUCCAUCCCAAUAGCCACAGGAAAUUUAUCAUCCAGUUGGUCUUCAGAACCACUCAACACAUUAGCAGUUAACAGUAAGUUAGACAAGAUAGAGGGUGGGGGCAGGUGGGGAAUGAACCUAACUUGGGCCACAUGAGUCGUAUUUGGGUGCCCUUUAUUAACAAACCCCAGUUCUGCCUCUAGGUUUAUAGUUUACAACCUAAAAUGACAACUCAAGGUCAAGGGGAGCAGUAGACACAGGAUCCAAAGAGAGUUCAAAGGGACAGGGCUUCUGGUUGGUCCAAUAACUGAUGGGCAUGAUGCUGACUGAGCACUAAGACUGAGGCACAAAUCACAGGGGAGGCUACUGGGCAACCUUCAAACCAGCUACUCCUCAGAUGGAAAAGCAGGCCGACCUCAUGCCCCAUUUCAGAACAGUUGCCCAUGAACGUAGCUAUCCCUAUCCCCUUGGCUUUGUCUACUCCUGAGACUUGGUCCUUGGGAUGAGUUUUUAGUGAGGCCUGGGAAAUGCAAAUGUAAAGAUGGAGGCAGAGGGGCCUAGUAUCUCUUUAGUCCUAGAUGCCACCCCCUGGAGCUCAAUGUGAAGGGGGGGGUGGGAAUAAGGGAGGUGUUACAGAGAAAGGAGGUCUUUCUCAUGGGAGGGAGUUAAAGAAUAUGCCUCCAACUAUGCACUCAGCAGCCAAACCCCUUAAUGGUGCUAGGUCUGAAUUUAACACAUACUGUGUCCUAACUUACAGAGGCUCCACAGGUGACCACAUUGGUCAGAAUGGCUCAUCUCCACAAGACAAAACAACCCUAAGCCUUUGCCAGAAUUUAGGAUAUAGGGAAAUACCGUCCCAGUACAAAGGAAAAACCAUCAACAAAAGACCAUUUGACCAACUUUAGAAUAAAAGACCAGCAGGAGAGUAGGGGAGAACAAGAC